AUGGUGGAUUACAUUGACUGAACCAUCCCUACCUUCUGGAAUAAAGCCUACAAGAUAAUGAACAAGUUGUAAAAGUCUCAGCUCUUCCAGUACCAUGCUUUCCUGGAUGCUGCCAUGCUUCCUGCUUUGAUGAUAAUAGACUGAGCUUCUGAACCUGUGAGCCAGCCUCAAUUAAAGUUGUCCUU